CCUACAAUCUAGCCGUCUCAAUUUACCUACAAUAAAUCCAACCAAAACAUUUUAAUAACCCAGUAAAGGCGAUUAAAAAGUUACUCAGAGCUACAGAUUUUGUACCGCAAGGGAAAAAAUGAAAUAGUAGUGAAAUAACUUCAAGCACAAAAAAGUAGAGACACUAACUCGUACCUUUUGCAUCAUGGCCUAAUUAGUCUAAUCAAGCAAAAAGAGUUAAAGUUUGACCCCCCGAAACUAAAUGAGCUAUUUAAGAGCAGCCAUCAGCAAACCCGUCUCUGUAGCAAAAGAGUGGGAUGACUUUUAAAUAGAGGUGAUAUGCCUACCGAAUUUAGCGAUAGCUGGUUAUUCAAGAAAAGGAUCUUAGUCCAACCUAGAACUCUAAAUAUACUACAAAAUUAAUUCUAGCUUAAUUCAAAUAGGGUACAGCCUGUUUGAAACAGGAGACAACCUCAACCACUGGGUAAAACUUUUUAUGCUACAACUAAGUAGGCCUAGAAACAGCCAUCUUUAAAAAAACGUUAAAGUUUAAUUUAAUAACUAAUUAAUAACGCAUCAACUCCCCAACCCUUCACCAAUAUUGAAUAAUUCUAUAUAACUAUAGAAAUUAUUAUGUUAGGACUAGUAACAAGAGCAUAAACCUCUCUUAAAUGCAUGCUUAAAUCAACAAGGAUAGUCCAUUGAUAAUUAACACCUGUAAAUAUAGAGUAGUAAAGUUAUUCAAAAAGUCUACUAACAAUCAUGUUAACCUUACACAAGAGCAUUUCAAGAAAGAUAAAAAGAAAAAGAAGGAACUCGGCAAACAUUAGUCUCGCCUGUUUACCAAAAACAUCGCCUUUUGAUCAGCUAUAAAAGGUCCCGCCUGCCCAGUGAUUUAUUCAACGGCCGCGGUAUUUUAACCGUGCAAAGGUAGCGUAAUCAUUUGUUUCUUAAUUAGAGACCUGUAUGAAUGGCUUCACGAAGACUUUACUGUCUCCUUUCUCUAGUCAGUGAAACUGAUCUUCUCGUGAAAAAGCGAGAAUAAAAAUAUAAGACGAAAAGACCCUAUGGAGCUUUAAAUAUGUAAUACUGCAUUAACAAUAACUUAAAUUACUGAAAACUAACAUAAAUUAAAGCAAUUUUCACUUACUACUUUAGGUUGGGGUGACCGCGGAGCAAAAACUAACCUCCUCAUAGACUUAAUAUAAACUACAGCUUUAUUUAUCAAUAAAUUGACUUGCAUUGACCCAAUUAUUUGAUCAACGAACCAAGUUACCCUAGGGAUAACAGCGCAAUCCACUUAAAGAGCUCCUAUCAACAAGUGGGCUUACGACCUCGAUGUUGGAUCAAGGUAUCCUGGUGGUGCAGCCGCUACUAAAGGUUCGUUUGUUCAACGAUUAAAACCCUACGUGAUCUGAGUUCAGACCGGAGUAAUCCAGGUCAGUUUCUAUCUAUAAUUUAGAAUUUUCUAGUACGAAAGGACCGAAAUUUCACGACCAAUGAACAUCUAAGUCGUCCAGCAAUUAAUGAAUAUACACUUAAUUAAUGUAAACACCUAUUAAUCU
rnacentral:rRNA from 1 species